CCCGCCCCAUCCCGGCAGGGAGCACGAGCGGGGUUGGUGGCGCCACCUGCCGACGACCAGUGCUAGCUAACCGUUGCAGACUUGAACGUGACACCCAGCUAAGGGAUUUCUCCGGAAGCAACCAUUUCUCCAGGAAGCCCUGGUUCCCCAUUAAAAAUCAAGAUCUGGGUGCUGGUAUGCUCACAGCUAUUGGAUUAUCAAUUCUUACUUUUCUCAUUGCAAUACAUGUGUACAUAUGUACCUA